UCGUCAGUAUAACAUAUUGCUUUCUUAUUGAAAUUUCCGUGGCACCAACAUGUUUGAAUUUGGAGAUGCUUACGAUCUGGUUAUAUUGCUUCUUACUUAUUGUCUGGACAAGGCUGUGAAUCGUUGUAAGAAGCGUCGUACUCAUUAUCUUCAUAUUGUAAUCAUUCGUUUUGUCAUCAGCUUCCUAAUAUCUACAACUGAAUUUUAUAUUAUGUUUGUGUCUUAUGGAUUUUGGGAAAACAUUUUCAAAUCGUGGAAGCAAGGAAACAUCUUCUCAUUUUACUCUGAUUUGUCUUAUGGCGGGUUACAAGGUCCUACCGUUAUUAAAAUAUACACAGCCUUCUUAGUGUUUUAUAUACUUUGGAGUUUUUUCAUAAGCUUUUGUUCUGUGAUAUCAUGUAAUUCGCGUUUUUUCCACUUAGUAUUUAGACGUUCCAGAGAUACUUCCGCCGAUGUCAGCAUACCGAUGUUCGUUAUGAUAUGCGUAGGAAAUGUACUGAUGUUAGGUAGCGAUUUGCUGCUUCUGUUAUAUACAACUUUUCUUGGUUUAGAAUAUGAAGAACAUGAAAGAGUGAUUGAUUUUUCAGACUUCGCAAAUAUUGUGCGGUCAGUUUUGUUUUUUCUCAGCAUAUUCGAUAUAUUACAAGGAUUAUUUGGACUGAUCUGGAUUUUUGUGAGAAGGGGAAUUAUCAUGAAGAGACUCACCAAGUUACCCGGCUGCAUAUGUUGCUGAACACAUAACUUUGAGAGAAGAUUAUCCAUCAUAAUAACAGUUACCAAGUAUACGAAGAGUGAGGGGGAGGACAGGGGGGUACCCUUCUCCCUUCUCCCACCCUCUUCUCCUUUCUCCUACCCCCGUUCUCCUUUCUCCCAUUAGAAUAAAACAUCUCCUUUUGAGAUAUUUUUUCUUGAAAUAUUAGAAAAAUUUUUAAAAGGAGAGAUAUUUUAUUUUUUCUCCUUUCUCCAACUUUUUCUCCUUUCUCACAACCUUCCUCUCCUUUCUCCUACCCCCUUUCUCCUUUCUCCCACCCCUUUUCUCCCACCCCCUUUUCUCCUUUCUCCUACCCCCUUUCUCCCUGUCCUCCCCCUCAAGAGUUAGCAGUAUUUCCAUCUUAAUUUGUUCUAAACAUAAGGAUUUGAACACUACUUUUGGAGGAGGCUGAUUGUCACGUUUAUUUAUUGUUUUUUUUUAGCUAGUAUGUAAUCUGUUUGUAUUGUUGUUGUUUUUUUUUGUUUUUUUUGUAUUUAGUAACAUUAACAUGCAACGUUUUUUUAAUACACUGAUUUCAUUACUUCAAACAAACAAAAAUAUGAGAGAAAAAAAAGCAAUUGCCACAGUUAUAGAGUAAUAUGGAGAUACUAUUAUUGGACGAGUUGUGUAUUGUCACUGAGAAUACAGAAAGAACAGUUCCUAUAAAAACCGUAGUGAUAAGAGAAGUUAAUUUUGAACAUUCAGUUCGUAACCCCUAUCAAGGGCAACCGAAUGACAUAAAGCAAGGACACUCUUAUCGAGAUUAUUACAAUAGUUUGGGUUUUGAUCAGCAGACUUUAACAGCUAGUGUUUUGCAUCAUUAUUAAUCUAAGCAGAAUGUGUAAUAUUUUUUGUUUAAUUCAUAAGACUUUAUUUUAUACAAUUAUAACCGUUUCAUAUGAGGUCCAUUAAGGAUAUAUUGACCGAGAACGAAGUCUGAGAUCGAUAUAUACUUCAGUCUUUGGGUCGAUAUAUCUUAUAUUGACCCUUACAAAGGCUAUACUUGUUAUAUUAUUGAUUUACAA
rnacentral:lncRNA from 1 species